UAGAGAAGCCAGAGGAAGUACAGGAAGAAUCGAGAACUUAGAAGAAGCUGAGAUAAGAAAUGACUAACACAGGGAAGCCCAGAAGUUCUUUUAUGAUAAAGUGUGGUGGCAGCAGCGGGGACAAUGGACCCGUCUAGAAUCCAGUCACCUGGCCAGCGUCGCCUGAGCAUGAAGAGGCCAAAAAGAACCUGGCCUCACCUGACCAGUGUCCCACACACAGGGUGGUAGAGUGAAAGGCCGGCUGUCAGUGGACCCUCAGGAUGUCCCCAUCACACCCGGCGCAAGAGGAUUUUUUUAAGGAUGGAAAGACCAAGACUGUCGAGGAGGGAACAGCACUGCGAGACCCUCCCUGAGGACCAGGCUGGCUGAGUUCCACCUGCAGCUCUGUCAGUGCUGGUUAUGGCUGUCACCUGAGCGGUGCCCACGUGGGGACUGUGCAUCCUGUCCCACUCCCGUCUGUUCCCACCUACCUGGGCCCUGCCCCCUUUCUCCCCAACGCAGCUCCCUGCCGUACUUCACCGUGGCUGAUUCUCACAUCCCAGGUGCCUGACCAUCAGUCCUGAGAUCUUCAUGUCCUAAGAAGCCUCCCAGUCUUCACACAGACAAAGCUCACGCCCCUCCUGAUGGCCCAGGAGAACCUCAAGCUCAUGUCAACGACUCCCCUUUCCAGUCCAGUCAGGACCUUUGGCACCGUAAUGCUCC
rnacentral:lncRNA from 1 species